rnacentral:lncRNA from 1 species
GUAUACGUUUAGAUAUGAGCUAGAGUUGGUGGAGGGUUGAAAUUAACUAAUGUUAGGCUAAAGUGCUUUGAAUUCUAAAGCAAAAGUUUUUGUAUUGCUUUUCUUGGAUCAAGUGGAUUAUUGUGAGGAAGCAUCAUGGAAUUGGUGUUAACUCAUGACAGUAAAGGAUGAAACAUUUCUUAACUUCUACUGAAGGUUUUGGCAGAACCAGUAGGGAGUAGCUGUUUACAAGGUUGCAAACUUAGGAGGUCAUUGUCUUGUUCUGAUGAAAAACUUGGGGGAAAAAGUGGGCUGUUGCCACAAAAUGGAUAGAGAGAGAUAGGAAGCAUGGAUACUUUCUCCACAUUCUGUUAUCUGUAGGAAGCACAUCAGUGAUGAUGAUUAUGUUCAAACUAAGAUUUGUCAACCGCAUUCAGUUACAAAUGAUCAUGAUCUAAUAUGAAGAAAUUUUCGCCUUCACCAUAACAACACUUGACGGAUUAACUUUAACACUGAGAGUAUCUUCAGGAUUCAAGUGCACUGGAGAUCUCCACCAGCGAAAGAGAUCCUGAACAUCAUAGCCCUCACUGUAAUUUAGGCCAAUUCCACUCAUGGUCGUAUUGACUUCAACGGCACUACCCAUAUCUCGACGAUUGAAGAAAACAACAGCAUAUGAAUAGUAACUGUCUUUUGUUGGUGUAACAGGCCGAGUCCAGAUUUCAAUAUUCUGUUGCUAUAAUUAGAUA